ACUGCCAAGGACUGGAGGAGCAGGGAGCACACAGCUGCAGACCUGACUGCCACUCUCUGUAGAAAGGGAAAUGUAUCUCAGCUUCUAAUUUCCAUCUGUCUUCUACUUUUCCCUCAUGCAGGACGGGAUGUGCUGUUUGUCAGGAGCUUCCAGGGACCUGCACAAACACAGAGAAGGAGAAGCUGUGGCAGAGAGGGAGUGGAAUGGGAAAUGACAGCGGGAAGGACAAGGAUAGUGAGCUUGCACAAGCUGAACAUCAGGUUUUUUGCAUGUUCAAUAGGAAUUUGGCAGAUUUCAAACCAAAAUGAUGGCAGUGUCUACCUUUCCACAAUAUCUUUCCUGCUUCUCCAUUAA
ensembl:lncRNA